rnacentral:rRNA from 1 species
CACGUAGGGCGCAAGCGUUGUCCGGAAUUAUUGGGCGUAAAGAGCUCGUAGGCGGUCUGUUGCGUCCGCUGUGAAAACUCGGGGCUUAACCCCGAGCCUGCAGUGGAUACGGGCAGACUAGAGGUAGGUAGGGGGAGAAUGGAAUUCCCGUGGUGAGCGGUGAAAUGCGCAGAUAUCAGGAGGAACACCGAUGGCGAAGGCAGCUCGCUGGGACGGUACUGACGCUGAGGCGCGAAAGCGUGGGGAGCAAACAGG